UAUUUGAAUCAUGCUUAUGAUUAACUCGGUGAAUAAAGUGUGUCAGCACUCCGAGACGCACAGUAGUUCCCGCUGGAUUUACGAGGGAUACCUUUUAUUGUCCAGGCGGCAGUGAUGCAGUGAUGUAUUGCUGGGAGGCGGAAACUGCCAACGAAAAUGUGUGUUGCCAAGAGUUAUCGCUACAAAAAGCACGGAACUUUCGGGCGCAGCAAUAGACGCUCCUGUGGAGAAUAAUCCUCAAGGGUGCUGGUGUGGCAACCAGUACAACCGGAGGAAAUGCCAACAAUGCGCUCCUGUCUUGAUGUCGAAGAAACUCGACUAUAACGAAAGUCGCCGGUUAAAGUAGCCGUAGGACAGUUUUGGUGUUUGAUCUUUAAUACGAUAUGAUGAAAAAGAAAUUGUAUGAAACUAUCAAAUUUUCUGAACGAACGGUGAAAUUUGCGGGUAAACAAUCCCGCGCAGGAAUUGGCCUAAUACAGUUCGCUGUGUAAGGCUGGGGUAAGAAGUUAAAGGUCGCUCCUUGAAGCUCAGACUUAUCUCCCUGGUGGCUGAACAUUGUGAGAAGGUAAUGGAGGUAGAGCGAAGGCUCAAUGAUAGGUAUGAUUCAAG
ncrna:unclassified sequences ROOL RNA